UACGUAGGGGGCAAGCGUUGUCCGGAUUUAUUGGGCGUAAAGAGCGUGUAGGCGGCCUGGUAGGUCAGCUGUGAAAACUCGAGGCUCAACCUCGAGACGUCGGUUGAAACCACCUGGCUAGAGUCCGGAAGAGGAGAGUGGAAUUCCCGGUGUAGCGGUGAAAUGCGCAGAUAUCGGGAAGAACACGCGUGGCGAAGGCGGCUCUCUGGGACGGUACUGACGCUGAGACGCGAAAGCGUGGGGAGCGAACAGG
rnacentral:rRNA from 1 species